UUAGCUCAGGUGGUAGAGCGUCCAGCUGUAAACUGAUUCGAAAAGGUCGUUGGUUCAAUUCCAACUAA